GGAGAAUAGUGUAGUGGUUCGCACAACGGCCUUUGACUCCGUUAGUGGUAGGUUCAAUUCCUCCUUCUCCUGCCA
rnacentral:tRNA from 1 species